rnacentral:lncRNA from 1 species
UGACACUUUAGUCCUCAAUUUUUAAUUUAUUAUAAUUUGUUUUAAAUUUUGUAGAUUAUUACAACCAAAUUUUACAGUAAAUUUAGUUGACUGAAGACUUAGAUGUUGUCGAUAUGGCACGGUCCAAAAUGCUUAAGCCCGAUGAUUAACGUUUAGACCCUAACAUUCUCAUCAGAUCCGAAUUCGAUCAUAGAUAUAUAAACCCGCAUAGCAUUUAGCACGAUUCUAUACGUGGCUCCCACCAAACUCAAGGUGUAGCACUUUAUCCCACAUAAUAUUUGGCUCUCACAUAUUUGACUGGUAAUCAGCUCUGAUUCUAACUGUAACAAUCGGACCAACUUUCAACUAUAAUGAUCCGACCUACUAACAGUAAUAGCUAGUUGUGUCCAAGCCACCAGUCCAAAAUAUGUAGGCCCAGUUAUUAUUACUGGAAUAUGUGAUCUUUUAUAUUUUCAGCAAGAAUUCAUUUCAUAUUUAAUGUGAGACUAUUGAAAUGUUACAAUAAUCUAUUAAACAUAAUGAAUCCACAAUAUUUCUUGCCACGUGGCAAGAAACCCUUUAUUCUUAGGUUAUUAGAUAAUAUCCAUCUCUUAUAUGAAUCCCCAAUAUAAAAUUUACGUUUCUUCUUCACUUCUAAAUGCUUAACCGUUUACCUCUCUAUAUUUAAUUACAUGCAUUAUAUUCCACCAAUUAGUGAGCUUUGUAACUCCAAUCCACUCCUCUCCACCAUUAAUCAGCACUUCUAAAUGCUAUGCUAAACCCUUCACCUCUCCACAUUUAAUUACAUGCAUCAUAUUCUAUCAAUUAGUAAGCUUUGUAACUCCAAUCCACUCCCCUCCACUAUUAAUCUCCACUUCUGAAUGCUCAAUCUUUCACCUCUCCACAUUUAAUUACAUGCAUUAUACUUCACCAAUUAGUGAGCUUUGUAACUCCAAUCCACUCCCCUCCACCAUUAAUCCCCUCACCCCCUCUUUCUUGCAUGACAUGUUAUUUUUCAUGCAAAAAUGAACAUUAUCAUCUAAUCUCUCACCCCACACUUAUCUCCUUCUCUCUAUCUCAUUAUGUUAACAAAGAUUAUGAGGAUGAUGAAGAAGAAGAGCAUGCGAAGAAUGUUGUCUCCUUCAAAAAAUAUCGUCCUGUAAAGUCCAGCCGCGCCCCAUAUAAGUGCUCGCUGGGCCAGUCUGCACUGGAGCCGUCGCUCGCCGUGAACCGCCGCCGCCUCGGCUGCCUCCUCGCACGGCUCCCGCGUGCCGGCAACUAGGCCGAGGGGAGCGCCGUCCUAGCCUCCUCUUCGCGGGGACGUUGCGCGGGAGCUUGCUUCUCAAGAAUUGCAGGAACUUUUUGGUAAAUCAAAUUGUUUAAGAAUUAGGGUUUCUGUGGUUGAUGUGAUGGCAAGACUGUGUCGGUUUAGAUAUCGCAGUUUGGUGAUGCAGAUGAGGUGUUUGUUCAUAGAUUACAAUGAAAAUCCAGAAAUGAUUCGGCGCAGGGAGCAACUACCAGCUGAAGAUUAAAAAGAUGUAUGAGAUUUGGAUGAGUAAGAGAAGUGCUCCAAAAAAAUAUUAGUUUUUUUAAGAUUGAUGUUUUUUGUUUUAUUUUCAUAUUAUGAUCAUUUUUUUGAGUAGACAUUGUUGUGGGCAAAAUUUUUUUCGUAGAUUAAAAAGUAUGAUGCGGAGAUUUGGAGCCUGAGACGCCAACCAAAAUUUUCUUAAGCCAGAUACGUUAAGUUAUUAUUUAUGUAUUUCAUAUGCUUCUAACUAUUAUUUUAUUUUUUUAACAACUGAAUUUAGUCAUGCAAAUUGACUGUGCUUAAACAUAAUAUAGCUUCCUAUAAGCUGUAAAUAUAAAUUUUAUUAAAUUAUUAAAAAUUUAUUUCUAUUAUCUAUCCGCUGCAUCGCGCGGGUCUCUACACUAGUAAUGGCUAAUAGCAUAUCAUACCGCUAUUUUUUCAGCGACAUAUUAUUAUUCAACCAACUAAAUCGACUUAUAUAAUUUGAUUAUAACAAUUUUAAAAAAAAAUUGAAUCAUAAAUUGUAAUAA